rnacentral:tRNA from 1 species
GGAGACGUGUCCGAGUGGUUGAAGGAGCACGCCUGGAAAGUGUGUGUACUCCAAAAGGGUACCGCGAGUUCGAAUCUCGCCGUCUCCG